GAACACGAAAUCGCCUUCAGUCGCCGCUCAACUGUAGCGCUCCAGAAGAGGUGAGAAAGUCUCUGCUGACCUGAGUAGGGCUAGUUUGGAAGCCCACCUUCCCGACCUUUUUCCCCGGGCAGGCGCCCCACGCGGAAAUCUGACCCGACCCACCCCCGCGUUUUCCCCCGGGACGGCGCUCCCCACCUCCCGAGUCCGGGCGGCGCUUCCCUGCGCCUCUGCCUCCGCCUCCCGAUUCGACUCCUCCUCCGCCUCCCGAGCUGCACCGCCCGCCCGCCCCUCCGCCUUCCGUCCAGGCUGCGCCGUCCUCCAUCGCCUCCCCGGAUCUCCUCCAUCUCCUCCCCGUCCAGCCACCAUCGUCUGCCUCCCCGUCCAGCACCGCUCGUCCGUCUCCCCGUCGAGCCGCCGCGCCGUCCGCGCUCGCCGGCGACCCGGACUACCUCCAGGACCUCUGCGUCGCCGAACUCAACUCCGUUGUUUGCUGUUCAGGGACAGAUCCAGAGAAGGCAUGAGAACAACUCCAUUACUAUUUCCCCCUUGUUCCGUCGUGUAGAAUCAAAAUCCAUCCAAAACAAAAUCAAAUAGCCACAUGCUACCGAUACGUAGUCCGUGCCGUCGACAUGAAGUUCGUAGCUUGCUGAAACGGCUGGAUUUUGUUUUGUCAGACCCCAAGAUUGAAGCCAGGUUUUACUGAAUUUUAUGUGCUUGCUAGUUGCAUCAGAUUACUCUUUGCAAUUUCUUUAUCAGAUUACUCUUUGCAAUUUCUUUAUCAGAUUACUCUUUGCAUCAGAACUAGGCAUCAGAUUACUCUUUGCAUCAGAUUGUUGUUGUUGUUGUAUUACUCUUUGCAUCAGAACUAGGCAUAUAGAUUUGGCGUAAACUUGUUCUAAAUUGUGUGUUUUCAGAUGCAUAAAAGACAGUUCACUUGUAAUUGGAAAAACGUAAUAUCCAGUGUAAUAAUUAUCUGAAUCCAGAUGCACAUUGACAUUUAAUAUCCAACAGUAUCCUGCAACAGCAUGCUAGAUCUGCAUUGUUGGCGACUGUUGAAACAUAUGCACUACUGAUUAUAUGACAGUGACAAAAGUUAAUUUUUGGUGACAACUCUUAGGAUUGCCGUAAGGUUUAGACGUCCACCAUGUGGGAGGUGUGGACUUGUGGUACAACAUCUUGCUGUUUUGUUCUACCCCUAAUCUUGGAGGUGCAAGCAAACCCAUGUGCUAAACUUGUGUGUGCCUGCCUUGGAUUGGGUUUGCAAUCAAACCCGUGUACAUAUAAUGCUUGCAAUAACCAGCAUUUCAUGUUCUUGCAUAUAUUCCAUCUGUUAGAAUAGCAUGGUAGCACGUCAAGGAUGUACCCAUGGGCUAGUUUGGGAAGGAGGGGAUUAAUCCCUGGGGCAUCGCUCCCCUAUGGGGGGACCCCCCUGCGCAUAUGUUUAUGUGUGGUUAUAAAUCCAAUAGUGCUAUCCUCACAUGAGUACAUCCUAUGAAAAUCCGUAGAAUGCAUGAACUUCACAGAAAUUUGAGGAAACAAUUAGAUUUCAGUGGGAGCGAUAAUAAAUUCCGACAUCUGAAGAAAAUUUGUCGGGGUUUAUAGCCGCGCUUAAGCAUUCACAGAGUUGACCGGUUACUGCUGAGGUCAUCAGCUCUGUGCCGCCGCAGGCCGCUGCUCGACCGUCGGGGGUGAUGGAGGCGCCGGCACUGUGGAGAGUGCUCGAGUUCUAUAGCGGCAUCGGCGGCAUGAGGUACUCGCUGAUGGCAUUGGGCGCGCGGGCGGAGGUUGUGGAGGCCUUCGACAUCAACGACGUCGCCAACGACGUCUACGAGCACAACUUCGGCCACCGCCCCUGCCAGGGGAACAUUCAAACGCUCACUGCUAGUGAUCUAGACAAAUACAAGGCACAUGCAUGGCUUCUUUCUCCUCCAUGUCAGCCAUACACACGGCAAGGCCUUCAGAAGCAUUCAGCUGAUGCUCGUGCGUUUUCCUUCAUCAAGAUUCUUAACCUCAUGCAAAACAUGAGCUAUCCUCCACAAAUGUUAUUUGUGGAAAAUGUAGUCGGAUUUGAGGUUUCUGAUACACAUGACCAGUUGCUGGAGGUCCUUUCAAGUUUGAAUUUUAACUUACAAGAAUUCAUCCUAAGCCCAUUACAGUUUGGUGUCCCAUAUUCCAGACCUCGCUACUUUUGUUUGGCGAAACGAGAACCUAUGCGAUUUCAAAAUGCAUCAUUCAACAAUAAGUUGCUCCGGAAACCUAUGUGCCUAAGCCAGACAAUGGACAGUACAUCACAGGAUGGCGACCACCGAACUGAAGAAGAGCUGGAUCCAGUAUGUAAACCAGUAAAAGACUUUCUUGUCAAGGAGGCUGAUGGAGCCAUGGAGGCAUUCAGAACGAAAUAAUUUUGCAAGACUACAUAAUCCCGCUAAACUUGAUUGAGCGGUGGGGGAGUGCUAUGGACAUUGUGUACCCUGAAUCCAAGCGGUGCUGUUGUUUCACUAAAAGCUAUUAUCGCUAUGUGAAGGGGACAGGCUCCUUGUUGGCUACAUCUGAAAACCUCAAAUGGGUUCCUGAAGAGAAGCUUGCAAUUUCUUCCCUGAAGGAGUUAGGCCUACGAUUUUUCACCCCUCGAGAGGUCGCCAAUUUCCAUUCAUUCCCUUCAAGCUUCUGCUUCCCAGAUCACAUAAGCCUUAGGCAACAGUAUGCUAUGCUGGGCAACAGUCUGAGUGUAGCAGUUGUGGGUCCUUUGCUGCACUAUCUGUUUGCUGAGGCAUAGAGAAGUCCGCCAGCCAGCUGGUGAUGUUAACCUGACACAGACACUUUGGCUACUAGUUGCUGUGGUCAAAAUUUUUCAUAACUUAGCAAGGUUUUAGGAUGUUUGGUUAGUGGAACACUUCGAAAAGAAGGCUGCUACCUGCAAAGGCGCAACAUAUAUCACUGAAACUCUGGCGGAUCUAACCUACAAGAGAAGCUGUUUCUGCAUUGCCUUUCCCCCAUGCGCACAUCGUCAUGUUGAAUACUUGAAUGAUGGCUGGAAUUUUGACAUGUAUUCGUUGAUGUGUAUCUUGAUGAGGUUAUUGUAAUGAUUGUGGAUUUGAGCACAAGGAACUUCCACUGAAUCCUGUAGCCAAUUAUUAAUAGCGAAUAUAUUUGCUUUUUUUUUCAACGUA